rnacentral:rRNA from 1 species
CCUACGGGAGGCAGCAGUAGGGAAUAUUGCUCAAUGGGGGAAACCCUGAAGCAGCAACGCCGCGUGGAGGAUGAAGGUUUUCGGAUUGUAAACUCCUUUUGUUAGAGAAGAUAAUGACGGUAUCUAACGAAUAAGCACCGGCUAACUCCGUGCCAGCAGCCGCGGUAAUACGGAGGGUGCAAGCGUUACUCGGAAUCACUGGGCGUAAGGAGCGCGUAGGCGGGAUAGCAAGUCAGAUGUGAAAUCCUAUGGCUUAACCAUAGAACUGCAUUUGAAACUGUUAUUCUAGAGUAUGGGAGAGGUAGGUGGAAUUCUUGGUGUAGGGGUAAAAUCCGUAGAGAUCAAGAGGAACACCGGUGGCGAAGGCGGCCUGCUGGACUGCAACUGACGUUGAGGCCCGAAAGCGUGGGGAGCAAACAGGAUUAGAUACCCUAGUAGUC